rnacentral:rRNA from 1 species
GACGGAGGGGGCAAGCGUUGUCCGGAAUUACUGGGCGUAAAGCGCUCGUAGGCGGUCCUUUACGGCGAUGGUGAAAGCUCCCGGCUCAACUGGGAGAGGCCCGUCGCAACGGGGGGACUCGAGGGUGGUAGAGGCAGAUGGAAUUCCUGGUGUAGCGGUGAAAUGCGUAGAGAUCAGGAGGAACACCCAUGGCGAAGGCAGUCUGCUGGGCCACACCUGACGCUGAGGAGCGAAAGCCAGGGGAGCGAAC